rnacentral:rRNA from 1 species
CCUACGGGAGGCAGCAGUGGGGAAUAUUGGACAAUGGGCGAAAGCCUGAUCCAGCAAUGCCGCGUGAGUGAUGAAGGCCUUAGGGUUGUAAAGCUCUUUUACCCGGGAUGAUAAUGACAGUACCGGGAGAAUAAGCUCCGGCUAACUCCGUGCCAGCAGCCGCGGUAAUACGGAGGGAGCUAGCGUUGUUCGGAAUUACUGGGCGUAAAGCGCACGUAGGCGGCUUUGUAAGUCAGAGGUGAAAGCCUGGAGCUCAACUCCAGAACUGCCUUUGAGACUGCAUCGCUUGAAUCCAGGAGAGGUGAGUGGAAUUCCGAGUGUAGAGGUGAAAUUCGUAGAUAUUCGGAAGAACACCAGUGGCGAAGGCGGCUCACUGGACUGGUAUGACGCUGAGGUCGAAAA